rnacentral:lncRNA from 1 species
AUAUUGCUUUCUUCGUGCGUGUUACAAUAUCUCCUACAAAUUAUCAUAACCCCCUUUUAUAUAGUAGGGGUGUUCUACUCUUGGUAUAAUUCUACAUAAGGUAAAAAAUCUCAUGAUUUACUAAUUAAUCAGCUUCUUCUAGAUAAGUGCCGAAAUUUUCGUCGUGAUCCUCGACUGAUUGCGGAUGAUUCGUCUUUUCAUUAUUCCGCUCGGCAAGUUUCCCUCGAUCUUGCUCGGUCAUUGGGUCACGAGCUCGACGAUCUAAUUUUGCGUCUUGGUUCGAUAUAACUCGAGCUCGAGCUUUGACCUGCCAUGUUUCAGCCUUGAUUGAUCAAAUAAUGGAUGAACACGGUUUCAACCGUAUAUACUAUGUCAAUUAAUUCAAAUUCUCUCUGAGCUGUGCACUAAAGAAGGUUAAAUUUACUAACUAAUUAUGCUCUUUGAUCAUUAGAUGAUGUAGCACAAGAACUCAUCAUAAUUUCUCAACGAAAAGCUAGUUGAAUAAUUAUUUCAUUUUUAUGUGUUUCAGAUUAUGGGAGAGCCAAGAUUUUCACUAAGGAACAAAACAUAAGAAUUUAAAUACACUGUAAAAUUAAAAGGAAUCAAUAUAUAGUAAAUAUAUAUAAAAUAAAAAAAUUUUAUCUAGCAAUACCGUGUAAUUUUCUGGCGGAAGGGUGUCCAUUAACGCUCCUUCAUUGAAUGUGGCUCCGCCACUAAUUCUAGAUAGCGGCGGAGUUGGAUGGGCAGAAGCAGAGGCGAACCCAUAUUGUGG